GCCGGAGUGGCGGAAUUGGUAGACGCAGCGGACUUAAAAUCCGCUGGAGUUGCAGACUCCGUCCCGGUUCGAGUCCGGGCUCCGGCACCA
rnacentral:tRNA from 1 species